UACGUAGGGGGCAAGCGUUGUCCGGAUUUAUUGGGCGUAAAGAGCGUGUAGGCGGCCAGGUAGGUCUGCUGUGAAAACUCGAGGCUUAACCUCGAGAUGUCGGCGGAAACCAUCUGGCUAGAGUCCGGAAGAGGAGAGUGGAAUUCCAGGUGUAGCGGUGAAAUGCGUAGAUAUCUGGAGGAAUACCGGUGGCGAAGGCGGCAUCCUGGACCGGCAUUGACGCUGAGGCGCGAAAGCCAGGGGAGCAAACGGG
rnacentral:rRNA from 1 species